AGAGAUUUAAGUUAACAAACUAAAAACCUUCAAAGUUUUCAUUAAGAGUGAAACUCUCUUAGUCUUUA
rnacentral:tRNA from 1 species